rfam:Oryza rufipogon genomic scaffold, chr04
AAAAAAAACAAACCCUGGUUUCCGUGCCCAACAUUUGACCGUUCGUCUUAUUUAAAAAAAUUAUGAAAAAAUUAAAAAGACAAGUCACGCAUAAAAUAUUAAUCAUGUUUUAUCAUCUAACAACAAUAAAAAUACGAAUUAUAAAAAAAUUUCAUAUAAGACGGACAGUCAAAGUUAGAAACGGAAACCCAGGGUUUGUCUUUUU